GUUUAAUCAGGAAAACAGAGGUUUGAAAUAAAGAAAGUCCUGCAAAAUAUAGUAGGAUAGGGGUGUCUAUUCUUGACGUCAGAGUUGAUAUAGAAUUAUAAAUUGGGAGAGAGGCGAUAUAUAUUGUCAACACCCAUACGAGGUUUCAUAAUAAACGCGGCAAAUUUUUGGUCUUCUAAAGGGAAUAUGCACUAAAAUUACAUUUGACUUGUUGAGUCAUUUGAUGACUCGGGAUAUAAUUUUUUUUCAUGAUUUUAUUUAAAGGAAUUAUGAAUGACAUCAGAUGGGCUUUUAAUAUUGCUGAAUGGAUACCUGUUGCGCAGGAUUGGUUAUUUGCAAAUUCUUGUAUCUCCAAAGAAGAGAAGAAGAGAGUUCAUCAGUUUGUUUUUAAAAAUGAUGCAAAACUUGCUUUGGCAGGAAGGCUUCUAAUCAGAUCUUGCAUUAGUUAUCUUGCUGGCAUCCCUGCACCAGACAUUGUCCUUGAAAGAACUCAGAAAUCUAAGCCCUUCUUGGUCAACAACAGUUCUGGACUAAGUUUCAAUGUGUCACAUCAGGGAAAUUAUUCUGUCAUAGCUGGGAGCUUACUGAAUGAUGUUGGUGUAGAUGUAAUGAAAAUUGAUCGGCCUGUAAAUACAACCGUUCCUGAUUUUUUCAAAACAAUGACCCGUCAGUUUACGCCAGAAGAGUGGCAAGUAAUCAAAUCCAAAGAAUCGGAGCGAGACCAAAUGGCAGCGUUCUACAGAUUUUGGUGUUUAAAAGAAAGUUACGUGAAAGCUAUAGGCACUGGACUGGGAACAAGCACAGCUGAGUACAUGAGAUUUGAGUUGAAUACUGAGUCAUUGACAAAAGAGGACAUUGUAGCUGACAGUAUAUUGUACGUUAAUGGCCAGAAAAGUGACUGGACUUUUCACGAAUCUCUUAUCGAUGACGAGCAUAUCGCGACUGUGGCUGUGAAGCCGAACGACAGAUAUCAACAGCCUCCGAAAACUGUGCGAUUUGUCAAUGUAAAAUAUAAAGAGAUUAUCACGCAUGUGGCACCUAUAAUUCCUGAUGAUCCCGAAGCAUGGUUAAACUUCUCCAGCAAAAAGGAGAGACCCGUGAAAGUAUUUGAUAUCCCUUAAACAUGAUGUCAUUUUCCAAUACCAUUUGAAGACAAUAGAUGAUUGCCUGGGCUCUCGGCCAAUCAAAGAAUUUUGACUGCUAUGCUGUUAUUGACGAGAAAGAAUUUAUUUAUUAAGAAAAUGAUAUGCCAGAUUUAUCUAGUCGUAUUCUUGGCUUCAAGCGCAUUUCAAUGGAGCAGGCAAGACGUGUUACCGGCAGCAGAAAAACUAGAUAUGCAGACAACCAGAAGUAAAAUCGAAGCGAUGUUCAACAAUUUGGGAGCCACCAACGCCCUGUUGAAGCGUCUUAAUGUUUGCUUCAAGCAUUUCAUCGGGGACUUUCCUAGAGGUGGAAAAGUUCAUUGGAAGGAGUUCCAGUCAACAUCAGGUGCCCUUCGGUCUAAAAUCAAUGGUGAAGUGAGUUUGCGCGAAUUUUCUGAUGUCUAUAAGCAGUUUGAAGCAUGUGUCUGGGAAGAGUUAUUUUUACACAAUCACGAGUUUCAAAAACCAGGCCAGUUAGGAUUGAUAGAAGCAAAUAAAGACAUCAGAAGCACAGACGCAGAUGGAGCCGACAAUAGGGAAACUACUGAAGGAAGUGUCAAUGGACUUGAAAUUUAUCGCAAAAUGCUUCAACUUCGCCGCUAUAGAUUGUUCAAAGCUAGAAGAUCAUUUCGGAAUGAUAAUGUCGAAUCCGAGGCAUUGUCGGCAGGUGGCGCUGAAAGAUGGAGGGAAACAGCUCCAUACCCCGUAGAAGGGCGUUUUGGUUUUGCUGACCGAAAAAACGUAGAGGACCAUGGAGACAGGGUCAAAUCACCAUCUGGCGAAGAGUUUGCUGCAGCAGAAAGUAACCUUGGUAAGGUUAACUUUCGUCAUCUUGUUGGUAAUAAUGUCAUGGACUUUGCCAACAACAGAAAAAAUACAGAUGAAGGAGCUGAGCAACAGAAGAGGGGAUCACAAUUGAUCCGAUUCGGGAAAUAAAUUGAAUUAUUUCUCUCUUGAAACUUUGCUACAUAGUUGUUAGAGUUAUGUUUAGGAAUAAUUAUAAAAAUUCUAGAUGAAAUGCUAUGAAUACAUCGUUUCCUCUCCCUUGUCAAUGGUAGGCAGGGUCAAGCCACCUGCGUAAUGUAAUGGAGGCUAGCGUAAAAACAUGAAAAAUGGCUCAGAACCCCCUGUCGUAACAAUCGAGUCCCACGUACUGGGUGGUGCCCGGUUCUUUUCCGGUCAACCAAUGAGUUGACAGUCAUUUAAAUGAAGAGCUUAGGCACAUGACCUCGAGAGCUAGUUGCUUAGAUGUGUUGUAGUAUACAUAAAGUACCAAAAGUUUCUAUUUUCGGUAAAGCAGGGCAACCGAAUAUUUUCUUACCGAAUACUUGAACGCUGGAAAAAUCUCGUUUUAAACUGAUGGGCUUUCAAAAUAACAAAAAAUAUAAUCCUUGAUACAGUUUGUGCAUUACUAUACAUCCACAACACAUCGAUUUUAAGUUUUUUGAUCUCCUUCGUCAUCAACAAAUAAGAUAUUCAGCUCAUUUUCAAUAUCUUCUUUUUUGCCCUCUACAUCCAAGAACUUAAAAGUCUAUGGGCUGAGCUGAUGCUUCUACUGGCUCUUCAUAAUUUCUCUCAAUCAUUUCUUUCUAACGUUCCAGCUGUUUCAGUUUGGACGCCUGAAAUUUUAACUCACAAUCGAUCAGAAUUUCUCACCCCCUCCCUUGCGUUUUGCAGUCGAAAUCAUUGUGAACUCACUGUAAACGCUUCCAAUUUAUUUUUCUUCCAUGGGUUAUAGAAAAUGAUGUAAAUAAAUUCCAGAAACUUGUAUUUUUUUCAAUAAUUAAUAAUUCAUUAUCAUUGUUAUUAUUCAUUAAAGCGCCACUGAAAUAAAAAGUUUGGAUUUUUUUAUUGAUGUUCUCUGUCAAGUCAGUGCUACUGAAUCCGACGACCAUAACUUGAGACAGGUAUGUCUAAUUCGUCGAAGUAAUACACCAUUCGACUCAUCACGAGAAAAUCUUUUGAUUGAUGUACAUUAAAUCACAUUUUGAUGUUGUCGGCAAAUUAUGUUGUGACGUCAUUGCUUGAACUCAAAAGCAAUAUAUUGAUCAUACUGCUCCGGUAUAACUGAGAUUCAAGAAAUGUUGUGUGCUCAAGUCGUUGUCUAAAUCAAAAUAACUAAAAAAAAUUAUCGAGUUAUGGCCGUAAAAAGAUUUUCCAGGUGCCAAUUUAUGACGUCAUUUCCGGCAAAUGCUUAUCGAAAAUCAAAUGUACCCAGACUCAUUUUGUAGAGCGUACUUUAAAUCACCAAGUGCAACUUUCAAAACAAGAUCCACUAAGAUUUGUCACGGAACCGUAUAUUCCGACCCAAAUGUGUUCUAAAUAUCACUAGCUAUCUAACUACAAGCUCAUAUGAAAUAAGCAAACUUUUGCGUGCAGUUUGUAGCAAGACUUGAUUCUAAGGAGCAAAUUGAUCAAGGGAAGCAAUUUAUCUAUAAUAGAACCACACAAAUUGCACAUUUUUCGGCGCUUUCCCCACUUUCCAACUUACGUUGCCACUGUCAAAGCACUAGUUGCCGCCAAAAUCAUGCCUUAAUAUGUAAAACUACAAAUAGCCUUCUGUAAAUAGCCAGUCCCUUCUGUAAAACAACAAGGGGAUACUUUUCGGCGUCUAUUUACAUGCUAUCUUUUUAGCGUAUCAAAAUACUUAUAUCUACCAAGUUCCAUGCUUGUAUCGCGAACAAAAAGUUAAAUUAUGAUCACUGCUUAGAGGUCUGGAGCCUGGUACCCUAGUCUUUAAAUAGCAUAAGGGGAUAUUUUUCUGCGUAUAUUCACAUCC